UAACGAUCAGGUGCAGCAGGGAGCUGAGUCAGAGCAGCCGGGCUUUCAGGAGGAGUGGGAGGCUCUCUUCUGAUCUUCUACAAGAAUUCAAGAGACCGAAAGGAGGCAGCGACACAGAAUCGAGGCCAUCUACGCAACCAGGUUGGAAGGGGAGCCAAGGAGAUGGAAGAAGCCAAGCUGCACAACUGCCUCCGGGUUCCUUUUGGGAUAACUCCGUCGCUUGGCCUGACCGAGAGGUGUCACUCCUAGCCUCCCUUCUG